ACCCCCGCCGAGCCAGGAAACCAUGCAGAGGCUAGAUGCAGACCGAGGCCCUCCCCCUGCCCAGCCCCAGGAAACCCACCUCUUGGCUCCACUCCCCCUGCCAGCAUAAUCCAGCGCCUCAAGGGCUGAACAAAAAAAGCCAGGGAAGAAAGGGUCUGUAGGAACUUUUUACCUCAUCCUUCCUGGAAUUUCUUAGCACAGGAGGGGGAAAAUGCAGUGAAAAUCAAAUACCAUAUCUUCAUGAUUUAUCCUUGGGUCUCAGGCCCUCUGGGGUGAUCCUCAUCAUAGCCUCAUGAGGGAGACCGCGCUGGUCCGAAGGCCCCAUUCAAAGACGAGGAAUCUGAAAUUGGGGAAGUCACUGUGGCCUACUUUACCCAAAUGACACCUAUCAGGGUCUAGACUUAACUCACGCUGCCAGCUCUUUCUCCUCCAGACUCAGAGGCAGCCCCAGCCUCCCUACUGAGAGAUUCUGAAACAGGGGGAGGCCCCUCUAUUCCCACUGAAAUUCACUGGCCCAUGGAGGGAGGUGGGGGAAUCUGUUGAGGGCUAUGUAAGGGGGAAGGGAGGGGGGACGACCAGGUACAACGUCCUUCACCCCCACCUUCCAUUCAAGUAGCAAGAACAUCACCGUGCUCAUCCCACAGGGCCGAUUUUGCCCCAUAGCACCAUGAGUUAAAGGAGAGUCACAGAGAAAAUGGACAAAGAGGAAAAGGCUUUCAAGACAAAAAGGCCCUAGAGAGAGCUACAACACAGACCUUCAAGGGAACACCUCCACCUGGUGACAGGUUAGCAGAUUCUCACUUAGGAAACAAAGCCACAUUGUGAUCUCCAAGCCCUCCCAGAGGUGGAGAGAUACAGCUAAGCUGGGGGCUGAAUCCGGGUGUCUCAGAUUGUUACUAAAAUAUCAUAUUACAGAUUCCUGAAGUGACGAGACUGGCAGGGGCUGUGUGUGUGUGUGUGUGUGUGAGAGAGAGAGAGAGAGAGGGAGAGAGAGAAACAGACAGACAGAGAAACUCUGCAAAUCCAAAGGAGAAAUCCUCUUUUCCAACCAUAGGAACUACAUACCUGGGGAAAAGGUCCAUCUCCUGCCAAUAGCACCCGAUUCAUUAUAACCUUUCCUCAGAGAUUAAAUAUGUAAACAGGCCCCAGGCAAGCCCUUGGCAAAUUGCGAGAGAAAGUUUUUCUCCCAUGGCACACCCUGCCAUUCAUCCCCACACAACACAGGGGUCAACCCAGCUUGCUGAGGCCCCUGCACCCCCCCACCCCACCCCAGGCACUGCCACACCUUGAAGUCAGUAACAGUGACUAAAAUGCACAGGGAUUUUGCUGCCCAGCCGCUCAUCCAGCCAGCUCCUCUAACUGGAAUUCAGUCAGGAUAGGCAGGGCCAGCCAUGGUCACCGUCCCCGUCUGUCAAAGGACAUAACAGGAGCCCUUCUCUUGCUCAUCCAAAGUCUCCUGUGGGUCCCGCUGGCUCUCCAGGGCAGUGGUUCCGCAACGCCAUCUGCCUGGAUGCCGGGGUCCCUCCAUGUCACACCGUGCCACCAGCACUGACCAGGCAGGCCCAGAAAGUCCUCAGAGGUCCCGCACUGGUAAGUCAAGUCUGGACCCAACGUGACACGCUCCACCUCUGCCCCCAGCAUGUUGGCUGUCACGGGAGUGGGGAAAGAUAAUCCCAUGAGCUCAGAAGAAACAGAAAGCAGGUACAGACAGUACUAGAAACCUCUACCAUCAGGGGUGACCCUGGGUGACGCUGUGCUCUUGCACCUUUAAGCCAGCUUUGUCAGGCUGUUGGGAAGGGGCAAUCAUUUUCCAAAGGAGGCAGCUUCCAUGCUGGCUCUGAAAGGGGAUGGUAUGAUUUCUUGGCAAGGCCCAGCCCACAGGCAGUUUGCAGAGAGGUGGGGAGGUGGGGAAGGAAGCAGAGGAAGAGGAGUUGGGGCGGCAGCUGAGAGAGAGGCAGGUCCCAGGAAGGUUCUCUUGAGAUGGGAGAGAUCUCCUAGGGAGACCGAGAAGCCAAAGAGAAGUACAGCUGUCUGAGCAACCCUGGGAAGGAAGAGGGGUGAGCUGACGUGCCCUGGAGGAACCACAGCCCGAACUUCCACCGGCCCUGGAAGGUUGGCUGUGGGGCCCACAUCACCGGCUGUGGGUAUUUCAAUUUCCACGCAUAAAUACGCCCUGAAAGAGUCCAGGUGAGCCGCUGAAAAUCCAGGAGCCUGUCGGAAACCGCCUGAAGGGAGGCGCUUGAGAAAUAAGGAGGCGGCGGAGGACUGCCGGCCGGGGGCGCUAGAGAGCGGCGUCCGAACUGAACUCCCCGUCUCUCUGGCCGAACCUCUUCUCUCUGACUCUCCCACCGCACUUCACGGCACUCCAGCCUUCUGGCUGAUUGGACCCAAGGUUUGGAGACAGAAGAAAAUAAAGGGGGAAAGCUUAGGCACUGUGGAGGCACGAGGAGAGGGGUCUGUGGUUGCAGCCAUGUCCUGCUUCUGGAGUCAUGGUGGGUCCGUGGUUUGGGAAGAAUUCAUUGAGCUUUCUGUACCUCGUGUCUUCCAGUUUGCAGAAUGAAGUGCCUACAGGUCACGCAUGUAUCUCAGUUGGGCACCGCCGUAGCCCCACCAUCAACCCCGGUGGGGGCGAGGGGGGGGACACACAGAGUCGUCCUUAAAAUCAAACUCACGUCAGAUUUGAUUUUCCCAAGGUUGCUUGAAUUGGUGGUUCUGAGUACAUUUUAGAUUUACACGCAUGGUUUUAUUAUAAAAUAUUUUACCAUCUUUUUAAGUAUUAAAAGUAUCUUUGUAUUAAAAUGCCCGCAAAUGGAAAGCCUUUUCCAUUAUAAAACUUUUACCAAUUUACUUUUUAUAUUUAUAAAUUUUUUUAACGAGGACCGGUAGUACAAUGUUGCAAGUUACCACCUGCCCUGUGAUUUAUUUCAGACGGAGAUGGCUUUGAGCCAAAAGUCUGAUUGUUUUAACUUAGUAAAAUAAAAGAAAUGAUUUUUUUUUUUAAUUCCCCACUUGCUCAGUCUGCACUGUCUGAUAGGGCAAAAAAAUUAUGUGAGAAGAAAUAGGAUUAUCAGUUUUAACAUUCAGCAUAAAUUGUAAUAACAUUUUAAUCUUUAUUGUUUGAAAUUCAUCUGGAACUUAAAAUGUUAUAAUUAAUUGCUUUCUACCCCCAAAAUAUCUGCAUAUAUUUGUUCUCUCUUGUCAGAGCACAAUAUUUACUUGUUAAAUGGAAGCUUAAUUAUUAAUAGUUUAAUUUUAUACCCACAAGCUACCUAUUUCAAGAGCAAAGUUGUUUUUUUUUAUAAAGUCCGUUCUCUACCCAUAAAUUUUUAAAACUUAUUUAAUAUGCUUACACACAUCUUGGAGUUUUAAAAUCACACUCUUGGGACGCCUGGGUGGCUCAGUUGGUUAAGCAGCUGCCUUCGGCUCGGGUCAUGAUCCCAGCGGCCUGGGAUUGAGUCCCACAUCGGGCUCCUUGCUUGGCGGGGAGCCUGCUUCUCCCUCUGCCUCUGCCUGCCACUCUGUCUGCCUGUGCUUGCUCUCGCUUCUCUCUCUAUGACAAAUAAAUAAAUAAAUAAAUCUUUAAAAUCACA